rnacentral:rRNA from 1 species
GUGGGGAAUUUUGGACAAUGGGCGCAAGCCUGAUCCAGCAAUGCCGCGUGCAGGAAGAAGGCCUUCGGGUUGUAAACUGCUUUUGUACGGAACGAAACGGUCCGGGUUAAUACCCUGGGCUAAUGACGGUACCGUAAGAAUAAGCACCGGCUAACUACGUGCCAGCAGCCGCGGUAAUACGUAGGGUGCAAGCGUUAAUCGGAAUUAUUGGGUGUACAGCGUGCGCAGGCGGUGUUGUAAGACAGGCGUGAAAUCCCCGGGCUCAACCUGGGAAUUGCGCUUGUGACUGCAAGGCUGGAGUGCGGCAGAGGGGGAUGGAAUUCCGCGUGUAGCAGUGAAAUGCGUAGAUAUGCGGAGGAACACCGAUGGCGAAGGCAAUCCCCUGGGCCUGCACUGACGCUCAUGCACGAAAGCGUGGGGAGCAAACAGGAUUAGAAACCCCGGUAGUCC